ACGUAUGGGGCGAGCGUUAUCCGGAUUCAUUGGGCGUAAAGCGCGCGUAGGCGGAGCGCUAAGCGGGACCUCUAACCCGAGGGCUCAACCCCCGGCCGGGUCCCGAACUGGCGCUCUCGAGUGCGGUAGGGGAGAGCGGAAUUCCCGGUGUAGCGGUGGAAUGCGCAGAUAUCGGGAAGAACACCGACGGCGAAGGCAGCUCUCUGGGCCGAAACUGACGCUGAGGCGCGAAAGCUGGGGGAGCGAACAG
rnacentral:rRNA from 1 species